AGGAAGAGGACAGAGAGAAGGACAUUCAGGUGGAGGAGCCAGCAGAUGUGACAACCAGUGCACAGAGAGAUUAACUAACUUGCCGUCCAGUGGGCAUGUGGUGGAGCCCAGGGUGAAACCCAGGCAGUCUCUAAAGCAUUGCCUUCCAACAUGCAAUGGAGUGUGAAAUGCGGAAGCCAUGGGGAAGCACAGGAAAUCGGCCAUGUAAGAUAGGAAGCAAUGGUUCGAUUUAUUCAGUGGUGACGUCCACCACAGCUGCAUUCCAGUAAUCU
rnacentral:lncRNA from 10 species